GUAGUAUCCAUUCCAGAUGCUGUGUCAUCCCCAACAAAGAGAAGGUUUAGUGUUUGUGGAUUUAUUCAACAUAUUGGAGAAGUAUACUCCGGGGAAAACUCAAGAAGAAAAUUAAUACGUUUAUCAACAAAUUCUGACCCUGACACAAGUGAACCACAGGCACAUGUUAAAUUAUGGAACCAAUAUUGUGAAAAUCCAUUGCAAACAAAGCAGAAAAUAACAUUGAAGAAUGUCGUUGUUUCUGAAUUCAAUGGAGUAAAAACAAUUAACACAACAUCGACGACGCAGAUUAUUGAUUCAACUGAAGAAACCAGAAUUAGUGGUGAGAUUCAGGGCAUUAAUUGGAAAACGGAGGUUCCCAAAGUUCUAAUCAAUGAUAUCAGCUAUACGAUAGAAGCUGACCUAUUGAAAACAGUGAUGACAAAAUAUUCUGUAGAUGGUAUUACAGUGGAGUGCAAAGUAAUUGGAAAUUCCAUUAGAGAAAUAAAAAAGAUGGCAAAAGAAAAAACAGGGAAAAAAUAAAUUCUGCCCUCAUUCUUUACAUGUUGGAAUUUGUUUUCUUUGAUACAUUUAACACCAACACAUGUUUUAUUGCCUGGUAGGCAACCUACUUUAUUUUCUUAAAUGUUCUUGAAUAUUAUAUAUUUAUUUUUUAUGUACUUUAUAUUUAUUCUGUAUAUCACAAUCAGUAAUAAUCAGUUUCCCCUUCUCUGAUCUUGUAUACGGCAGCAAUCUUGUUAUAAAUAAUAUCAUAUCGCACAUCUUGCCUUUUAUAUACCCUCACAUGAAUACAUGUAUUGUGAUCAUUUAUCGUUUAAUCUGUCUCAAUUUGUAUGUGUUGUUACAUUUCUCAAACAAAUGAACAUUAUUCAAUUUUGUUUAUAUAUUUUAACAAUUAUGAACAUUUCUGCACUUUCUGGAAUCAACACUGUCACCAGUAUAGUUAUGUCACUUAACUUUGCACAGCAUUGUCAACAUAUUCUGUCAGUGACAACAAACUUAUAUGUUCUUUAGUUUACUGUUUCAAUAAUGCCAUAUGAAUCUCAACAACUAUUUUCUAUUCGCCCACAUGGAAAUGUGGAUGUAUAUUGUCAUCACCCUGUAUGUCUGUCUGCCCAUCCAUCCAUUGGUUGUCGCCCAGUUUCUUGUAACACUCUAGAGGCUAAAGUUAAUAUCUGAUUGACUUGAAAUUUAUACACACUUUUUAAGGUCAUGAAACAAAGAAACCUAUUAAUUUUCACAAUAUCCGAUAAUUACUGCCAGAAUAAUAACCGUUGAUCACUUUAAGACAAAGAAGCCUAUUGUUUUUCAGCGAUUUCCGAUAAUAACUACCAAAAAAUCUUGUGGACGCUAUCCACAGUUUCUUGUGAUUGUUUUUUAAAUCAUAAAAAAAAGCCUAUUGUUUUUCAACGAUAUCCAAUAAUUACUGCCAGAGUUAUGACCCUUGAUCACUUUGAAAAACUUGUGAAUGCACU